UGGUGGCGAUAGCGAAGAGGUCACACCCGUUCCCAUACCGAACACGGAAGUUAAGUUCUUCAGCGCCGAUGGUAGUCGGGGGUUUCCCCCUGUGAGAGUAGGACGCUGCCAAGCA
rnacentral:rRNA from 1 species